GUAGUCUCGCACAGAUGCAUAUCAAUAAGCGGAGGAAAAGAAACUAACAAGGAUUCCCCUAGUAACGGCGAGUGAAGCGGGAAGAGCUCAAAUUUGAAAUCUUAAAGGGUUUCCCUUUACGAAUUGUAGUUUAAAGAAGUGUUUUCUGUUGAGGUUUUGGUAAAAGUUCUUUGGAAUAGGACAUCAUAGAGGGUGAGAAUCCCGUAUUUGACCUUUACUUUCAACUUUGUGAUACACUUUCAAAGAGUCGGAUUGUUUGGGAAUGCAGUCCAAAAUGGGUGGUAAAUUUCAUCUAAAGCUAAAUAUUGGCGAGAGACCGAUAGCGAACAAGUACCGUGAGGGAAAGAUGAAAAGGAACUUUGAAAAGAGAGUUAAACAGUACGUGAAAUUGUCAAAAGGGAAGCGUUUGACACCAGUGUUGUUUUUCUGAAAAUCAAUUAAAGAACUGUUUAUGCUAAGCUGUUUAGACUUUAUCAGCUAACUGUUUAGUUUUGAGCUUUUCUUUAAUGCACUUUUCAGUUAACAAGUCAACAUCAAUCUCUUUUGCUGUAAAAAAGCUUGAGGAAGGUGGCUUGAGAUUCGUCUUAAGUGUUUAUAGCCUCUUGCCUAUGCAGUCGGGAGAGAUUGAGGUCUGCAGCGUAGAUCCUUCGGGGCUAAAUGCAUUUGUGCUAAGUUAUAGCAUUUUAUAGACAACUUGUUGACUAUGAUUUGUCUUGUAGCUUACUCGCUUAUGUUAUUUUACCUACGCUUAGGAUGUUGAAGACUCUACAGAGAU
rnacentral:rRNA from 1 species